CAUGCAAGUCGAACGAUGAACCUCACUUGUGGGGGGAUUAGUGGCGAACGGGUGAGUAACACGUGAGUAACCUGCCCUUGACUCUGGGAUAAGCCUGGGAAACCGGGUCUAAUACUGGAUACGACCUUCUGGCGCAUGCCAUGUUGGUGGAAAGCUUUUGUGGUUUUGGAUGGACUCGCGGCCUAUCAGCUUGUUGGUGGGGUAAUGGCCUACCAAGGCGACGACGGGUAGCCGGCCUGAGAGGGUGACCGGCCACACUGGGACUGAGACACGGCCCAGACUCCUACGGGAGGCAGCAGUGGGGAAUAUUGCACAAUGGGCGCAAGCCUGAUGCAGCGACGCCGCGUGAGGGAUGAAGGCCUUCGGGUUGUAAACCUCUUUCAGUAGGGAAGAAGCCGGCCUUUCGGGGUUGGUGACGGUACCUGCAGAAGAAGCGCCGGCUAACUACGUGCCAGCAGCCGCGGUAAUACGUAGGGCGCAGGCGUUAUCCGGAAUUAUUGGGCGUAAAGAGCUCGUAGGCGGUUUGUCGCGUCUGCCGUGAAAGUCCGGGGCUUAACCCCGGAUCUGCGGUGGGUACGGGCAGACUAGAGUGCAGUAGGGGAGACUGGAAUUCCUGGUGUAGCGGUGAAAUGCGCAGAUAUCAGGAGGAACACCGAUGGCGAAGGCAGGUCUCUGGGCUGUAACUGACGCUGAGGAGCGAAAGCAUGGGGAGCGAACAGGAUUAGAUACCCUGGUAGUCCAUGCCGUAAACGUUGGGCACUAGGUGUGGGGGACAUUCCACGUUUUCCGCGCCGUAGCUAACGCAUUAAGUGCCCCGCCUGGGGAGUACGGCCGCAAGGCUAAAACUCAAAGGAAUUGACGGGGGCCCGCACAAGCGGCGGAGCAUGCGGAUUAAUUCGAUGCAACGCGAAGAACCUUACCAAGGCUUGACAUGAACCGGAAUGAUGCAGAGAUGUGUCAGCCACUUGUGGCCGGUUUACAGGUGGUGCAUGGUUGUCGUCAGCUCGUGUCGUGAGAUGUUGGGUUAAGUCCCGCAACGAGCGCAACCCUCGUUCCAUGUUGCCAGCGGGUUAUGCCGGGGACUCAUGGGAGACUGCCGGG
rnacentral:rRNA from 1 species